rnacentral:lncRNA from 1 species
GCCGCCGUCCUACAGUUAAGACGCGCAGGCGUAUUAGGCUUAGAAAGAUUCGGGAACGUUAACAAAGAGACCGAAAAUAUAGAAACGGUUAGUAGUUUGCUAAGCAGAGACGGUUAGAGUUCAAAUUGCGUAGCUAGUAAUAAGACAAUAAAAUAAGAGUGAAUAUUAGCUGUAAAUGUUGUUUCUCUUAUUUGCAGAAACUCAAGGCAGUUAUAUUUCCAAGACAUCAUUCCUAUAAGAACCAUAUAGAAUAUACCUUAUAUAUAUA